AGUUCCAUAGUGUAAUGGUUAGCACAUCUGCUUUACACACAGAAGUUCCUGGGUUCGUGCCCCAGUGGAGCCA
rfam:Pteropus alecto contig100086, whole genome shotgun sequence.